rnacentral:rRNA from 1 species
GAGACUCUGUGCGCGUGCAUAUCAAUAAGCGGAGGAAAAGAAACUAACAAGGAUUCCCUUAGUAACGGCGAGUGAAGCGGGAAGAGCUCAAAUUUGAAAUCUUCAAGGUUCUACCUUGACGAAUUGUAGUUUAAAGAAGUGUUUUCUGUUAGAUGAGUAGCAAAAGUUCCUUGGAAUGGGACAUCAUAGAGGGUGAGAAUCCCGUAUUUGGUUAUUCAUUCUAGCUUUGUGAUACACUUUCAAAGAGUCGGAUUGUUUGGGAAUGCAGUCCAAAAUGGGUGGUAAAUUUCAUCUAAAGCUAAAUAUUGGCGAGAGACCGAUAGCGAACAAGUACCGUGAGGGAAAGAUGAAAAGAACUUUGAAAAGAGAGUUAAACAGUACGUGAAAUUGUCAAAAGGGAAGCGUUUGACACCAGUGUUGUUUUUCCGAAAAUCAAUUACGAAUGGCUUGAUUUUGUGUUGUAUUGACCUUAUCAGCUUUCUUCACUUUUUUCGAGUCUUUCUUAAUGCACUUUUCGGUUAACAAGUCAACAUCAAUUUCUUUUGUUGUAAAAGAGUAUUCGGAAGGUGGCUUUCUUUUCGGAGAAAGUGUUUAUAGCCCUAUACUUCUACAAUCGGAGAGAUUGAGGUCUGCAGCGUAGAUCCUUCGGGGUUAGAUACACUUGUGCUAAGUUGUAGCUUUUCAUAGACAACUUGUUGACUAUGUUUAGUCAUGCGGCUUACUCGCUUAUGCUAUUUUACCUACGCUUAGGAUGUUGACUGAUAUGUAGUCGU